rnacentral:lncRNA from 7 species
GCACAGAAAACUACAGCAGCUCCACUGGACACAAAGUCGCAAUAAUUCAGAUGCGAUCAUUUAUGACAGCAUACAAGUCAUAGCAGAAGACCUGCUCAUGGGGGUGACUUUCACCAGAUGGAGGGUGCAGCGCUUGCUUGCAGGCUCUUGCAGCCUGACAGGGAAAGGUUUACCCUUUGCCAGGCCAAGAUAGUGCAACAGGUUUGUGUUACAGAAAGCUGCUUUUCUCCAUCUGAACAGUCAUCAGAGCUUGUAUCUUAUCGGUGAUGGUGAAGGUAUGAAAACUUUCAGAAAUGCAAUGCAGCGUGGCUUCUGUGUCAGCCAUGGACCUCUCCAUCUCUGCUUCAUAAGAAGAGCUUUCUUCCUCUUCACACAGACACAGAUGAUGUGAGCAUGACCCCCUUGCAGCCUGGCUCAGCCCAAGAAAAGUGAAAGACAGCAAGACAGCAGCCAUGAGGGACAGAGGGAGAGAUGUCUGAAAAGUCCAUCUGCUUCCUUGCACAACCUUGAUUUCCAAUAUACUGAGUCACAGAUCAAAUGAAAGAAGUUCCUGGUAGACCUGCUGCCUCAGCCCACUUACAACAGGGAGAAGACUAAUUGCACUCUGCAAAGGACCUGCAGAAACUCCUGUAAGAGACAUCUUCUGUGAGAAAAGUACUUCCUGGUGGCCCACAGAUACUGUCCAGGCUACAGACUCUUCCCUCUUCCAUUUCCAACACGUAGCACGUACAAAGACCAGAAGUCAUCCUCCAGCAAGGACUGCUUUCUCCAAAGGUUAAUCACUGGCUGUGUUGGCACUGCCUUCAUUUUCCCGACUACCUCCCCUCUGCAGCCUGAUAAAGAGCGAGGUUCAGCUGCAGGCUGGUAAGCAUGUGAGAACAUGGGGAAAUCAUGUAAUUUGGGGAUGUCAGGUGAAUGAUGUCAGAUGAGUGUAUGUUUUCACUUCAGUCAUAAUCUCUCCACUCUGCCAUGAGCUGGGUGGGAUGCCACAGUUUGGCUCAUGGUGUUUGGACAUGACAGGAAAGGGAAGACCUGUCUUAGGUUAAACUCACCUAUGAAUGUAGCACUGUGUGCAUUCACACCAGGUUGGCACCAUGAUAAUCACAAUCUGUGCAUAAAAAAACAUUGUGUGCCUGCAAACUUCCAUUCUGUUGUGACCUCUUGUUUCAGGUGCUUGUUUCUAUGAUAAACAGCUGCCUGUGUUGUUGAGUUUUUCCAGACACAGUCAUUGUUCAAAAGCUAAGCUGCUAUUCUCUAAAAUAGGCAUAAAAAGCACUGAAGAAUUAUCUGAAAGAUGAGAGGAGUCAAGGAUAUAAACCGGAUGAUAAUUGUGUGGUCCCUUCCAACUCAAGAUAUUUUGUGAUUCAGUGGUAAAUAUCUCUUACUCGCAAUAAAAAUUAUCUGGUCUCUAUUU